rnacentral:lncRNA from 1 species
UUAGAAAACUUAUCCAAAACCAAAUCCUCUUAAACCCUAGCCACCAUUUUCUCCCAAUUCCACACUACCAUGGCGUCAUUAAAUCUAUCCUCAUGCAACCUCUCUUCCUCCGCUUCCAUUUCUUCAUUCCCAUCUUCUUCCCGCAGAAAAACUACCAGCAACGUCGCUCUAACCAGGAAGAAUCGGAACCCUAAAGUCUCAGCCAUGGCCAAGGAGUUGUAUUUUAACAAAGAUGGUUCCGCUAUCAAGAAACUCCAAGUGGGUUAUUCACAAUCAUGCUCAAAAAACGAAAAAAUUGAUUUUUUUUUUUUAAUGUUUUUUUAAUUGUUUUGUUUGUGUUUUUGUUACAGAAUGGUGUGAACAAGCUUGCGGAUUUGGUUGGUGUUACCCUUGGUCCUAAGGGAAGGAAUGUUGUUCUUGAGAGCAAGUAUGGUUCUCCUAAGAUUGUUAAUGAUGGUGUCACUGUUGCUAGAGAGGUGUGUGUUUGUUUACUUGAACUGUUUUUGAAUUCUGUGAUGUUAUUUUAUUUUAUAUAUGUGAAUUAGAUUAAUUUGUGUGAGUUUGGAGUUCAUGAUUACACUUGAAUUAUUGUUUUUGGUUAUAGGUUUAAUUUGUCUGAGUUUAGGGUCGAGGCUUUUACUUGAGUUACCGUGUUUUUAGUGAAUUAUUUACGUGGGUUGUUUAGGGUCUAAGAUUUCACUUGAAUUAUUGUUUUUGGUAAUAUGUUUAAUUUGUCUGAGUUUAGGGUCUAAGGUUUUGCUUGAAUUAUUGUUUUUGGUGAAUUAGUUAUGUGUGGUGUUUCAUUUGAUGUUAUGUUUGCAUUUUGGUUGAAAAGGUGGAGUUGGAGGAUCCGGUUGAGAAUAUUGGUGCUAAAUUGGUGAGACAGGCGGCUGCCAAGACAAAUGACUUGGCUGGCGAUGGAACUACUACCUCUGUUGUUUUGGCUCAAGGUCUUAUUGCAGAAGGUGUUAAGGUACACUUGUUAUGAGUUGUGGAAUAAGUAACUCAUAACUGCUUGGUUUGGUUUUGCUUCUUGUUACAUAAUUGGGGCCUUAUUUUAGAGAGAAAUUUUAUUUUAUAGGUUGUUGCAGCUGGUGCAAACCCUGUGCUUAUCACACGUGGUAUUGAGAAGACAGCGAAAGCUCUUGUUGCUGAACUUAAACUAAUGUCAAAAGAGGUAAAGCCGUUUUCUUGUUUUUCUGUGUAGCUGUGUUUAAACAUUUUUAUUCCAUGUGCUAUGGGUACCUCAAACUUCCCACUGUUUUGCUCAUUCUGGUGUGUUCAUUGCUUAGCAAUUAUUUCCUAAUACCUAUGAAGCACGAAUGCCUUUGGGAUUACAUUGCGUAGCAAUUAUUUCCUGUGAAACGCGAACACCUUUGGGAUUAGGCUUGUCUCCAUGUCCGACAUGCGUCGUUGCACGACACAUGUUGACACAUGUACAACAUGUUUAACACACCUUAAACAAAUACCAAUUUUUUUUUCUUUCUUUCUCUGCUUCAACACACCUUAGGCACUCUUUGGACGUAUCUGUGGGGUUAAAGAUGUGUUGAAGAAAUGAUUAUCAGUGAGGGGAUUUAAGACAUUCAAUUUGAUUACAUCACUUUAUCUUUUUGUAAUGAAUUUUUUUUUCUCAAUUAGAUGUAGGGGUGUAAAUGGUUCAUGAACUAAACCAAAUUUAUGGUUCGGUUCAGUUCUUAUAACUUCUAUCAUCCACAAUCUUUUUUUUUUUUUUUAUAAACCCAGUUCAAUUCGGUUCAAAAUCGGUGAUCUGGUUUAUAAUAUAAAACUAAAAUAAACUUUUUUUCUUUUUCAUGAAUUGAAAUGGUUUUGUGCUAAAAAAUUAGCCUUCAAUUCUGGGUUGAAAUUAAGAAAUUACAGAUUUGUAAAUUAUGAAAUGGGAGUUUGUGAAAUCGCAUGAAUAACAGAAGAGGGGUUGUGAAAUGAGUACAUAUAUAACCCAGUUUUAAGAAACAUUAAACCAAAUUGUUUUUAAAUUUUUAAAUUGGAGAGAGUCAGUUUUUAUAAAUAAUGUUGAUAUUUUAUUAAAUUAUAACACACACACACACACCGGUGUCAACGUCCCAUGUUUUUUACAUUAACAGAGUCAACAUGUCUGUAUUGUGUUAGGUGUUUGUGCUUCAUAAAUGAUUUCACUCAUCAUUUUCAUUUAAACUUAGAAGAGUUGUCGUCGUCUGAAUUGCAGGUUGAGGAUAGUGAAUUGGCUGAUGUGGCAGCAGUUAGUGCAGGGAACAAUCAUGAGGUAGGAAAUAUGAUAGCUGAGGCGUUGAGUAAGGUUGGUAGAAAGGGUGUCGUGACACUUGAGGAGGGAAGGAGUGCUGAAAACAAUCUGUAUGUUGUUGAGGGUAUGCAAUUUGAUCGAGGAUAUAUUUCACCCUACUUUGUUACUGACAGUGAGAAAAUGACUGUUGAAUUUGAGAACUGCAAGGUGCGACAUUUGUUUCUAUUUGGCAACUUAUUAUUAUCUCCCCCAUCAACUUAUGUUUUUACUUAAAAAUUUAUAUAUGUUUUUGUGCAGUUGCUUUUAGUUGACAAAAAGAUAUCCAAUGCAAGGGAUCUUAUUAACAUACUAGAGGACGCAAUUAGAAACGGAUUCCCUAUUUUGAUCAUUGCAGAGGAUAUUGAACAAGAAGCUUUGGCAACUCUUGUUGUGAACAAACUUAGAGGAUCACUGAAGAUUGCAGCACUUAAGGCUCCUGGAUUUGGAGAACGCAAGAGCCAAUACCUUGAUGAUAUUGCCAUCUUGACAGGAGGUUUAUAAAUUUGAAUCUUUUAUGUCUUUGCUUAUUUUGUUAAAUUGAGAAGUGUAUAAUUUCUCCCUUUGUUCCUUUUUUGGUUUAGCUGUUGGUAACAAUAUGUAUCUUCUUAAUUCGCUUAUAGGUACUGUUAUCAGAGAGGAGGUUGGCCUUAGCUUAGACAAAGCUGGGAAUGAGGUUCUAGGCACUGCGGCCAAGGUGGUGCUCACCAAAGAUACAACCACAAUAGUAGGUGAUGGAAGUACCCAAGAAGCAGUUACCAAGCGAGUUUCACAAAUUAAGAACCAAAUUGAGGUUUCCCUCUCUCUCAUUCCCCGCCUCUCCACCCCCUAAAUAUUGUUUGCAUGGCAUGUGACUUUUCUGAGACCUUGUUUCUGAAGAAUAAGUAAUGAUAGUUUUAAAAAAUGAGAAAUAUUUCGGAGUCAUGCAUAACAUUAGGUAGAUAGUUAAAAUUAGUAAUCCAAAUGUAUGUAUGUAGCAUAUGAGUGGUCAUAUAUGAGGAGAAACUCUGUAGGGUCUCUACAUAUAGUAGAUUACAAGAGAUUCACAUUUACGUUGUCUCUAAUAAAAUGUCUACAUAAACACACUUGGGUUGGUCUGAUGGUGUUGGCUUGGGACCUUGGAGUGUGCUCCUCUUCAAGGUCUCAGGUUUGAUUCUCCGUGGUGCUAAUUUGGGUGGCUAAUUUAGCUGCUUAAAAAAAAAUGUCUACAUAUUAUGUAGGCUAGCUUCUUAAAAAAAAAUAAUUAAAAUGUACAUAUUAUAUAGGCUGCAGAACAAGACUAUGAAAAGGAGAAGCUGAACGAAAGGAUUGCAAAACUGUCUGGUGGUGUGGCUGUAAUUCAGGUAAUAAUGAUCACAUGUCAGUUAACUCGUUGAAAUUUAAUAAUAAGCUUGCUUUUAACUUCUCUUCAAAUCGUAUUAAGCAGUGCAAGUUUUAUUUUGUUACGAGUAUAGGUUGGUGCACAAACUGAGACAGAACUCAAGGAAAAGAAAUUGAGAGUUGAGGACGCUCUAAAUGCCACAAAGGUGACUUAAUCUUUCUCAGAUUGUUCAUUAAUUCAUCCUUUUACCGGUUCUAUAAGCUCAUGUUUUCUUUACUUUCAGGCAGCUGUUGAAGAGGGUAUUGUAGUUGGCGGUGGGUGCACUUUGCUCAGACUUGCAUCAAAGGUGGAUGCAAUCAAGGCCACCCUUGCAAAUGAUGAAGAAAAAGUGAGUCAUCAUUUGAUAUUGCAAGAACUCAAGUUGUUUAUUUUCUCCUUUAUACGGAGAUAUUUUUCGUUUUAGGUCCUUGAAAGUGUUAUUGACUUGUUUGUGCUAUAUCAUUAUUUCAUAUUCAAAUUUCCGACUCUGAUUAUGACUUUAUAAUUAAAACGUGGUACAGGUUGGAGCAGACAUUGUUAAAAGAGCUCUUAGUUACCCUCUGAAAUUAAUAGCAAAAAACGCUGGUGUAAAUGGCAGUGUUGUUAGUGAGAAGGUAUAAAAAUCGGCUAAAUUUGGAAUUCGUUACUCUCGCAUGUGCUUGUGCUGAUGUAACUUAUGUAACUUGUAUAUUGGUAGGUUCUAUCCAACGACGAUACGAGAUACGGAUAUAAUGCUGCCACUGGAAAAUAUGAAGAUUUAAUGUCGGCUGGGAUCAUUGAUCCAACAAAGGUGAUUUAUAGAUUCAUUACUGUAUUGUUUUGUUUUUUUUAACUUAUCUGCAUGUGAAUUUAACGCUAUCUUUAGUAGCAUGUCUGGUAAAUUAAACUAAGCUUGUAGGGCCCGCAUCAUUAUAAAUGGUUUAUAUAUGGAUAUCUUGUGUUAGUUUUGAUUAAAUUUUGGUUUCGCACCAAAUGAGGUUCUUAAAUCAUGCAUAUUGUUGCAAAAUGGAAGUGUAUCAUUCCUUAGAAAAAUUGUAUUUGGAGGAUGUUAGGCACAAUACAUUACAGAUUUGUUGAAGUGUCACUGGACUUUUAAUGUGGGAAACAAAACCUGAUUUAUUUUAUGUUCUAGUUUCUUGAUUAGGGAAAUUGGGGUGUAAUACUAUUCUAUGACCUUUCUAAAAAGGCUUCUUGGAACAUAGCUUAUUGUGCAUGUUUCUGCCUUCUAUGUGUGACACUACACUCUAUCAUGUUUCUGCAUUCUUCAAAGAAUGCAUUCUUUAUUCUUGAUGCGAAACUUUGAUAAUCUGAAGCAUCCUACUCUUGUCCAGGUGGUCAGAUGUUGCUUGGAACAUGCAGCCUCUGUUGCGAAAACAUUCUUAAUGUCAGACUGUGUUGUUGUUGAGAUAAAGGAACCCGAAGUUGCACCUGUUGGUAACCCAAUGGACAAUUCAGGUAUGUAGUUUGAACAUUCAUUCGAACGAUAUUUUUAUGUUUCUAUUAGACUAUUAUCGUGUCAAUAAUGGAAAUGUAUGUAUGAUAUCUAUAAAAAGAUAGUGAUAUUUUAAUUAAAAGUGACAAUAAAAAAUAAUAAUAAAUAUUUUGUCAACAUUUUUCUAUGUGAAAUACGUGUAAACUAUAUCUAUUUGUUUGUAACCAAAAAAAUACCAUCGUUUAUUCCUAUUACUCUGUGUGUAACCGUCAAUUGAUAACCUAAGAAUCUUGAAUUUUAAGGUGUAAAAUAUGAUUUUAAAUAUUGGGUAUCUCAUAUCUUUUUGUAAAAUGUUGUUGGCUGACUCUGCCUUUCUUUUCUCCUAGGAUUCGGUAUGUAGAAGUGGCAGCUGCUUAAAAUGGGAACACCAUUUUCCUCCUAUUUUUUUUCGAUGUAAUACACAAUUUGGUAGCUAUUUUAUUUGUAGGACCAAGUCCAAAUGUAGGACAGAUGGCUGUAGUGUAACGUAACAAUGACAUUUUUGUUUCUCUUGAGCUAAUAAUCGAAAAAGGUUUUGCAAAUCAUUUGUCCUGUAUAUUUUACUUUUAUUAAACUGUUUUGUACGUGUUCCUGGAAAUAAUCUCGGAGAGGUUGAAGAGUAGAAAGUUAUACUCAUAGGAAAUCAUAUUUAAAAAAAUAUACAAAAGGAGAUACACUUAUUCUAUUUAUAGGGAAUUGUUUUGUAAAGGAUACACAAAGUGAGAUACAAUUGUACUAUUUAUAGAGCUCAUUGUUGGUUAACUAACUCCUGACUAAUUAGUCCUCACCAGAAUGAACUAACAUUCUUAACAAAACUAUUCUAAAAUGUCUUGAUCCCAUAACAAAAUCUCUAUUUUUGUUACCCGCGAAGGAUUUGAUGUUGCCAACUCAAUAAUUAGGAUCAUACUGUUGUUUGGAUUUUUUCUUGGCCAGAAGUUGAUUAUGUAUUGACUACCCUAGGAUCAUGCUGUUAUUUGGCUUUGGGCAAACAAGUUCGCUGCUUUAGGCAAUGUAAUUAUAGAACCACUUGAACCAGACUAGAGAUCAUAUUUCUGAACUAUGUUAAUGUAUUUUAGUUUGAGUGUGAUUGUGAGAAGCUUUGUUAUCUUCUUUUUCAAACCUUGGUAAGAUUCAGCAGGAAACAAUCACUCAGCUUAGUUACAGCAACCACGUUAACUCAUGCCUAUCUAGCUCCUACGUUUUUCAUCUCAUCGUUGCAUUGGCACUUUGAUUUCUACUGAUAUGAAUCCAUUUUUUUUUUAAAUAUAUUUUAAAUACACAGACAACUAAAUGAAAAGAAGUCUUUUGUAAGUGUUCCAUGAGUCUGAAUGUCUUCGUCUUGAAUUAAACCACCAUCCGCUCACCUUAAAUUUUGUAACCAAAAAAUUCAACGAGGAGAGGACCAAACUGAAAUGAGAAGAUUAGGAAAAAGUUAUUCUCGUGCUCCUGUUAUUUUUUUCUUUCUAAAAUACCCUUGGUUCAUUAUAUAAUCCAAAUAUGUUUUGGAUUAUAUAUUCCAAAAUAUUCAUACUCUGUUGUAGCCUGAAACACUCUGAAGGAUCUUGAUGUUGAAGUGCAUUUGAUGUGUCAAGGCACCCCUAAAAAGUCCUGAUUUAUUUUUGUCAAGAACCGACAUUGUUUCUUGGUUAAAUAAGUUUUUGAUCUCUAUAACUAUAGUCAAUUUCGUUUUUAGUCCUCGUAAAAAAAUUGAUAUGUUUUGGUAUCUUAUAAAAUUUAGCAUGUAAUUUCAAUCCUUGUAAAAUUAGAAUUUGUUUAAUUAUGAUAAAAACAUUUAAAUAUUGAAUGAUUUUGUAAAUAUUUGUUAUUUUUUUUUUUUUUUUUUGUGGUGACCAUGGUUUGAACGUCAGACCUUGCAUAUAUUAUAUAUUGUCCCUACCUACCGAGCUAAAUUCACGAGGACUUGUAAAUACUUGUUUAAAACAUUAUAAAGAAUUUCUCUACAAAAAAUUAACUCGAUUUGAUUUUUGGAUCAAAAUUUUCGUUAGUUUUAACUUAAAAUUUUGACAUUUAUAAAUAUUUAUAUUUGAUUUAUUACAUGUUAAAAAAUUGUAAUUUUUUAUAAGAGUUUUCUUAUAAUGUUUUUUUUAGAAAAAGUAUAAUUAAACAAAUUCUAAUUUAACAUGGAUUAAAACCACGUCUUAAUUUUUUUUUAUAAAGACCAAAAUCUGACACUUUUUUAUAAGGACUAAAAACGAAAUUGUUAUAUUUAUAAAGAUUACAAUUUUAUUUAACCCUUUUUUUUUUCAACAUAAAUUAAGUUUAGCAGAAAUGUUGAUGUCUCACAACAUGACAAACUUAAUAUGGAUUCCAACUAACAGAUAUGUUCAUAGGGUUCAUUAAGUUUUUGGUUCUUAUAAAUAUAUGCAGUUUUGUUUUUAGUCUCUAUAAAAAUAAAUCACACUUUUUAGCCCCUAUAAAAUUUUCUGUUAGUGUUUUUAGUCUCUGUUAAAUUAAAAUUUGUUUAAUUAUACUUAAACUUCUAAAUUUUUGAAAGAUUUUUUACAUACAUGUUCAUAACAUCGUAAGACACUCUUUUAUAAUUUUUUUUAGUUUUUUAACAUGUAAUGAAUUAAAUAUNAAAAAAAAAAAAAAAAAAAGGAAUGGAGGGAGUGCUUAAAAUGAUAGGUCAUGUAUUAGUUUCAUCCAAUAAAAAAUGAGUGUUAAAAAAAAGACUGUCUUUAACAUUCAUCUUUUGUAAAUGGUGACAACAGUGGUAAUUUUUUUUAAGGAUAUCAUAAUCCAAUGAAACUCCAAAUUACCUAGAAUUUACCUUUUAUAAAUUUAUUUUCGGUAAUGACCAAUAAACUUUGAAUUUUAGAUACUCCCUCCGUCACUAUAUCUAAGCACCCAUUUGAUUUUAUUUUUGUCCUUAAAUGUAAACUCAUUUCCAAAUUACUAGAUGUAUUUAUUAUUUUGUUCUUAAACAUACUCUUAAUUAAUACUACUAACUUGUCUUGAAAUUUGAAAAGUCAAAUUUAAUACACAUACAAACAAAAGACAAUUUGAUAAUAUUAAUACACAAAACACACAAUAAUUACACCGACAACUUUUCUUAAGAAAUGUGAAAAAAACAAAGGGGGGUUUACAUUAAGGGACAAAGGGAGUAUAUCUAUACAUCAUGUUCAUGGAUGAAUAAGUGGGCGCAUGUUGAUAAAUUUGUGAUUCCAUGCUAGGGAACUCAUGUUUGGAGAUUAGUAGCCGCAGGUUAGUUCAAUUAUAUGGUUCUCAUUCAAACUUUGUCGAACAUACAGAGCCAUGACUAUGUUAGAGAAGAUUUAGUGGUUGUCUCUAGUAGGGGUCAGAUUUAUUUGAACAUGGAUGGUGCAUACGAUGGGGGUGGAGGGUGUUGAGGGGUCGAAGUUGAUUUGAUCGCAAUGGUUUUCAUAAGGUGGAGUUUCAUAUGAUUCUCGGCUAGUGGCUAAAACUAUUUCUUCUGCUCAAGGAGGGACAAUAACGGGAUGUAGUUUGUUGCAAAACAUAACAAGAUUGUUGGACUUGAAGUGGCAUGUUCGAAUUGACCAUGUGGUAGAUUUAAGAAAAGGACAAACUGAUUCAUAUUUACAAAUACAUAAGUUGACAUUUUGGUACCUAAAAGAUUUUAAAAUUUCUAUAAUUCCAUUAAAUGUACAUAUUUACAUGGGAAGUUCAAACAUUACGAUUGCUUGUAUGUCAUGAUUUUUUUUAAUCUACUUCUAAACAUGGUGUGAGUUAGACUGUGAGCUCUUCAAGAUCACAUAGCUUUAUCUCUGGUGGUAGAUGUGAGGAUUAAAAUCACACGAUUAUGUUGUAAAGACAUACGAGAAUCACAAUAGACACUUCUUUGAGGGUUUUUAUUUCAAGGUAAAAUUAUUUGUUGAAUAUUAUGCUUUUCAAAUUGUUGAUGAUCAUAACAGUAAUGUCUAUGACGUGCCUUUUUACUGCUCAUGGUUGGUACAAAAGGAUCAAAUUGAGCUAAUAUAAUUUUGUAUGGAAUUAAUAUCCACCUUGUAUUAUCUCUGUUAGGGACCAAACUAUACAAAUAAUAUAAUUCCACCUAAGCUCUUGAGACCAAUUUUCUCCACCACCGAUGGCGUCACACCUGAAAAUCAAUUUUCAAGACAAUUAUUGUUAGUGUUCUAAAGUGAUGCUCCAUAGAAGGGAAAAGAGAGAUGAUAAAGAAUGAUGGAGAAUGAUAGAAAACGAUAAAGAACAUUAUGGAACUUUUCAAUUUGCGUCCAUUUUGUUCACGAAGCUAACAUCAUCAUUUUGUUUGGGAAGCGAAGAAAACCUUUGGUUAUUAAUAUUUCUCCACCAACAAAAACCACGACAACCACCGUGAUCUUUGCCAAAUAGUUUGUUGAACCAUCGUCAUCAAAAUGUCACCUCGAAAACAAAAUGAAAGAAUUUUGCAAGAGAUAAAGAUGAAAGAAAUUAGGCGACAAAUUCAACAAUACAAUAGAAUGUCACUGCCCAGCAAGCCCUUUUGGAAGUACAACAUAUGAGAUUCGAAGAUGGUGGCUCUAGUAGUGACUCUUCAUCAACUAGAAACAGUCAUUCACGAUGACAAAAGUUUAGAAUCAAUGAUAUCAAGGUAGGCAUUUCAGAUUUCGAAGGAAAAAUGCAACCAGAUGAGUUUGUUGACUGGCUUCAGACCGUUGAACGCAUAUUAUAGUACAAAGAGAUACCUGAGGAUCAUAAAGUAAAGAUCGUCGCACUCAAGCUCAGGAAACACGCUUUAAUUUGAUGAAAAAAUCUUAAAAGGAAACAUAAAUCUGAAGGGAAAAUCAAGAUCAAGACGUGAGACCAUAUGCGUUAUAAACUAAAUUUUAUCAGGACAAUUUUACUCAAUUAAAAUUAUAAAAAAAAAAAAAAAAAUCUUCAUACCAACCUCUUUCCUCUACCAGAUAUCAUAUUGAUUCUCACAAACCACCUAGCCAUCAAUCUAUUUCCUCAUUUAAACCCCAACAUAACACAAUCAAAGAGGUAAAUAUAAAGACACUCAAAUGUUUCAUUGUCAAGGGUAUGGGUACAUCGUCUUAGAUUGUCUGAAUACCAAAGUAAUCACUAUCGUUAAUGGGGAGAUAAACAAUAUUUUUGAAGAAGAAAGAGAAUACACACAUAAAUCGUUUGAAGAAGAGACAAUGGAAGAACCAAUUUAUGAUGAAGAAUAUGUUGGUGUUGGCUUUCUUAAAGUGUUUAAAGAAGAUGGAAACAAAUAUCUAAUAUAUGAUGAUGAGUAUGGUCCCGAUGACAUUCAUGAAGUGUUUGAAAAAGAGGAGAAUGACAAACCAAUAUACGACGAAUAAUAUCUUCCUGCUGAAUAUGGCGAAUCUUUGGAGGUUAAAGAAGGUUGUAAACAACAACAACCAAAGAAGAACUAUGGCUAAGACACAAUAUCCUUCACACUCGUUGCACUUCGUAAGACAUGGUUUGUAAUGUUAUCAAUAAUAUAAGAUGUGAAAACAUUGUAUCAAACUGUAUAGGAGAAAAGCUAAAGUUCUCAGUGAUUAAGCACCAAUAUCCAUACAAGUUGCAAUGGUCCAACAAGGAUACUAAGGUAAAAGUAUCUUAACUCCAUUAUUUGAUUUUCCAUCAGAACAAAUUAUAAAGAAAAGUUAUGGUGUGAUGUUAUUCCUAUGGAUACUUGCUUGUCACAUUCAUCACGGGCUACCUUGUCAAUAUGAUCGUUGUGACUUAACCUCUACCAAUAAAUGAAUUCAAUUAAGUAAAAAACGAAUUCAAGCCACUUGAACUUUUAGUCACAAAGGAACUAUUCAAUGAUAAAGAAAAAAUGUUAUACAUGCCUCAUCUAGUUCCUAAGUCAUCUUGGUAAGAUGAUGGUACGAAUUUUAUCCUUGGAAUACUUUUGACUCAACAACAAAAAGAUCCCAAAAUGGUUGUCGAAGACAUGUUUUUAAAAAUGGCUCAUUUCAGCUUAUCUCAAAUGUUGGUUACAAUUGUUGUCUUGAGGAUGAAGAAGAAAUUCUUGACUCGAGCAAGAGUCUCUUCCAACCCAGGGAGAAUGAUAAAGAACAUUCAUGUAUACUACUAAAUAAAGUCAUAAUAACUAGGAGCAUCUUGAUACCUCUAGAACUUUUUAGCUACAUAAACUAGAUACUAGUAUUUCUAAAUAUUUCUUGUAAUAAAGUAGUAUCAUUUUAUGCUUAUAUAUCUUUCUAUCUUGAGUCUUAUUAGAAUAAUAUAAAUAGAGCUCAUCACAAAGUGUUUUGACAUAUUCAACCAUUGAAACGUUCAACGAUAACAAUUUUUCUUGAGAAGGUUAUAUAGUUUCUCUAUUUUUUACUGGGAGGAGCGAUAUGAACACUCUCUUUCUAACAUGCAUUAAUUAUUCAAUAUAUUUAAAAAAUUAUUUUUUACAUAUAUAAAUAUGAUCGAAGGAGUACUCGUUAACAUUUUCCAUAUAAUGUGUGUUGUUUUAACAACCAUUUUAUGUAACAAUAUCUCAUAAAACCAUAAAUAUAAAAAAAAAAAUAUUGACGCAAAAAUUAAAACAAUAAAAAUAAAAAAUAAGAUCAUUUGUCCGAAUAACAUUUUUCUCUCUUCCCACAAAAACAAUAGAGAACAAUAGAGACAAACCUAAAUUUUAUCCAAAAAAAAAAAAAAAAGACUAUUAAACAUUGAAACCCCUACCUAAUAGUUUCAUCCUCCAUUCUCAAUUCCGAGCAACAAAGGUUAGAAAACUUAUCCAAAACCAAAUCCUCUUAAACCCUAGCCACCAUUUUCUCCCAAUUCCACACUACCAUGGCGUCAUUAAAUCUAUCCUCAUGCAACCUCUCUUCCUCCGCUUCCAUUUCUUCAUUCCCAUCU